GGGGCCGCCUGAGGGGCGAGGGGAGCGGGCGGGCAGGGCCGAAACAGACAGCUCCUAAAAACCCUAAAAAACCCGAAAAAAACCCUUUAAAAACCGCUCUGCACCCCGGUACUGCCCUGCGAACACCUCCGGGGCCUGACAAAACCCUAAAAACCCUAAAAAACCCUUUAAAAAAACCUUUAAAACCUCUCUGCACCCUGGCACUGUCCUGCGAACACCUCCGCAGCCCACCAAAAACCUUAAAAACCCCUUAAAAACCCCUUAAAAACCCUAAAAACUCCUAAAAACUCGCUCUGUACCCUGGCACUGCCUACCAACACCUCUGGAGCCUACCAAAAACCCUAAAAACCCUAAAAAACCUUUAAAAACCUCUCUGCACCUCAGCACAGCCCUGCAAACACCUAGAGACCUGUACAGACCCUGACACAGCCCUACAGACCCCGGGACACCCAUCAGACCCCUAAAAAUACCCUGAUGCCCCUACAAAUACCCCUACACACCCCUACAGAGCCCUACAAAUCCCUACAGACCCCAUCAGACCCCUAAAAAUACCCUGAUGCCCCUACAAAUACCCCUACACACCCCUACAGAGCCCUUCACGCCCUACAAAUACCUACAGACCCCAUCAGACCCCAUCAGACCCCUAAAAAUACCCUGAUGCCCCUACAAAUACCCCUAUACACCCCUACAGAGCCCUACACGCCCUACAAAUACCUGCAGCCACCUAGGAACCCCUAGGGACCCCAUCAGACACCCAAAGCCCUUGCAGAGCCCGCAGCCCCAGAGCUGCCCAGGACCAGGCGCGUUUUGCCCGUCCCACGCGUGGAACGGAGCUCCGCGCCAUCGGGCAGCCACGCACAUCACACCUCCAGCUCCAGAGAAAGCAACGUGGCAGAGCCAUCCCCUGCCAGCACCUCGCCCCUCUGACCUGCAGAGCCUCCCCAGCUGAAGAUUUUCUCCUGGGAACUGUCUCCUCUGGGCCUUUGGAUGUGCCACUUUGCAGUGGAGGUGUGAUUUAGCCAGGACCACCAGCAGCACAGCCCAUCCCUGCACCUGUAGCAUUUUUAAGGUUUUUUCCUUCAAAAUAGGCCCAGGAACAAUAACCCCCCUUAGUUAUUUGAACAGGGAAGAGAGGGGGGAUGUACCUUUUAGAUGACUGGCUUUGCAUCAAGUGCAAUAUGGAGAAAUGGAAAAAAAUGCUUGUUUUAAAAAUGCAUGUGGAAAAGCUCAAGAUGGAGAACCCACUGCAAAGUCUGUAAAGGGAAAAAAGCGCCAAGCUUAUGGUGAAAGUAAAGCUGCAUGGCUGUAACCAUGGAGACCAAAGCUCUUCUGAUGCAGAAAUAAAUGAACACAACCUUUUCAUAUUUAUUAGUGGGACUGAUGAUGAAAGAUAAAGUCAAAUUAAAAUAUAAAGCAAUCGAGACAAGAGCGAGUGGCUGCCUCUGCCCCUGCAAUGCAGGUUCUUGUAAUGGAUCAUCACAAAUGAGCUGGGGUUACAGAGAGGCAAGUCAGUUACAAAAGGAACAAAAUAGUGGUUAUACCAACCUGCUUAUGCAAAUAUCAGCUUCUUUAUUAAAAAACUGGAGAGACAAAGCACAUGACAUAUUCCUGAAAUCUUUUGGUUUUGACUAAAAUGGAAAUUAAUUUGUUUUCCUACCACAGCUGUGUGUGAAAUGUGUUCUACACAAUGGAAAACUUUCCUGUAACUGUACUAGUGAGUAUUUGAAACCUGCUAAUUUCUUAGUGGCAAGAAUGACAGAAUUUUCCUACAAAAAUACUGGGUGAAUAUUCAGGUUUGCCAUGAAAAUACGUGUCAAAGGUUCAAGAAUUGCCUGGUGAGUUGCUGUUAGGGAGCUGUCACUGCGGGCAGAGGGACAGCAGCAGCAGAUGGCACUGGAGCUGAUUUCAGUGAGGGUCAGAGCUCCUGCAAUGAGCCUUCACUGCACAGCCCCGAUUGCAGAAAUGCUCUGAUUGAGCAGCAGCCCCAGAGCAGGGAAGGAUGCAGGCACGGCCUGCAGGCAGUGAACUGCGCAGGCAGCUCAGCACCGCAGCAGCUCAGUGCAGCAGCUCAGCACCGCAGCAGCUCAGUGCAGGCAGCUCAGCACCGCAGCUCUGCCUGACACAGCUGCAGCCACAGCAGCGGCCCCAGCUGUGCAGCCCCGAGCAUGCACCUCCCUCGGGCCGGGGCUGAACCCGGUCCUGGCAGCCGAGUCCUGCCGCUCCCUGCCCCGGGAGCUCCGGGCCCGGGGCCGGGACCAGCUCCAGCAGCCCCGGGACCCGCCAGGACUGCAGAGGGGCUGGAAACGCGGUAACUUCCAGCCCAUCCACUUCAUGGUACCACAUCCUAAAUUACACACAGCGGGUUAAGGUGCUUCCAGUUUUACUGAGCUAUUUUCUUCCCCUUUCUGACUUCCUCAAAAGUGUGGUUAGCCUCAAAUCUGGAGAGGAAUCCGUGAACAGCCUCAAAGCCGGAUUUGAAGAGUAACUGGUUUGAAAUACUAGAAAGUUUAUGCCAAGACUUAAAAUAACCACCCUCCAUCCUUCUUGAGAUCCUGGUAAGAGAAUGGUUGUGUACAAGACCUUUAAUUUAAUAAUGGUAUAAAAUGGUAUUUCCUGGAAUUUUAUGGCAAAUGAAACACUCCUAAUAAGUUCAUGUUUCAGUCUUACUCUUCACUGACUACACCCCAGAGUUCAGAACACUGAAAUCUUAUUUUUAACUACAGAGUUUGCUAUAUCAAGAUUACCUUAGCAGGUACUGAGACAAAUGUGAUGCACAUUGAUAAGAGGAUACCAAAUUGCUUGUGUCAUUGCUGAACAGAUAAAGGCUGCUCCACUUCCCCACUGCACUGAGGAAGAAGUUUUUUUCUCAUCACAGCAGGGUCCCCUCAGUGAAUCCCCUCCUCAGGUCCUGCCCCGCAGGCCUGGCCUGGCCAAACCAAGCACAGCUUUGCACAAACUCCAUUUCAGUUUCUCUGUGUUCAGUUUACUUUACCUUCCAGGCUGGCCCAGGUUCUUGCUCCUCCCUGUGGGAAGGGUCAGCACUCCAAAGCUCUGCCCUCCUGGCCCAGCGCUCUGCACACUCCGGGGAGGAUUUCCCAGGCGAAAUCAAAUCUCCGCUCCUCGAGGAAUUCACAGACCUCCUUUCCCCGGGACACAGAGCAAGCAAACCAGUACAAAGCUAUUUAUAACUGCGUUCUACAGCACUGAACAGGAACAACACAUUGCAGCCCAAGUUACUCUGCAGAUUCCCAAUAACCUUGAAGGAGAUAAGUAUUCAGUUAGUACUAAACAGAGAGGCCCCAGCAGGGCUGGGGAACACUUGGAAAAACAGAGGCAAAAAAGGAGGAAUGAAUAUUGAGGUGGGAUUUACCAACCAGGCAUGGAACACUUACAUGUAAUAAAGCAAAUAUUUACAUUAAGCACAAUACAGCAAUUUAUUUAGAUGCUUAAAUGAAGAAUACAAAGGGAAAUAAAGAUCACAAA
rnacentral:lncRNA from 1 species